UCAGCAUCUGGUCAGUCAGACUCAUCAAGAUGAUCUCACAGGCUCACCUCAUCUGGCUGAUAGUGCUCUGGAUCCAGGACUCCAGCGGGCAGAUUGUGCUGACUCAGACUCCAGAAUCCCUGGCAGUGUCUCCUGGAGACAGAGUCACCAUCAACUGCAAAGCCAGUUCCAGCCUCACAAGCAGCAGUACAGGCAAAGAGCUCUUAGCCUGGUAUCAGCAGAAAUCAGGACAAGCUCCUAAACUCCUUAUUUAUUACGCUACCACCUUGGAAACUGGGGUCCCAGCCCGGUUCAGUGGCAGUAGAUCAGGAAGUGAUUACACCCUCACCAUCAGCAAGGUGGAAACUGAUGAUGCUGGAGAUUAUUACUGUCAACAAGGCAAAAGCUUCCCUCUCACAGUGAUACAGACCAGUACAAAAACCUGCCUGUGCUAUUCUGUUCUAUGUGACAGCUGCUUCCUCAGCAGGCACCUUCUCACCAAAAGUAUUACACUUGAGGUCUGA